UUGGAGGGCAAGUCUGGUGCCAGCAGCCGCGGUAAUUCCAGCUCCAAUAGCGUAUAUUAAAGUUGUUGCAGUUAAAAAGCUCGUAGUUGAAUUUUGGGAUCAGUACGUUGGUCGUGCCUUAGGUACGUACUGGUAUUACUGGUUCCUACCUUCUGACGAACCAUCAUGUCAUUAAUUUGGUGUGGCGGGGAAUCAGGACUGUUACUUUGAAAAAAUUAGAGUGUUUAAAGCAGGCUCGCGCUUGAAUACAUUAGCAUGGAAUAAUGAAAUAGGACGUUGAUCCUAUUUUGUUGGUUUCUAGGAUUGACGUAAUGAUUAAUAGGGAUAGUUGGGGCAUUAGUAUUCAAUUGUCAGAGGUGAAAUUCUUGGAUUUAUUGAAGACUAACUACUGCGAAAGCAUUUGCCAAGGAUGUUUUCAUUAAUCAAGAACGAAAGUUAGGGGAUCGAAGACGAUCAGAUACCGUCGUAGUCUUAACCAUAAACUAUGCCGACUAGGGAUCGGAUGAUGUUAAUUUUUUAAUGACUCAUUCGGCGCCUUACGGGAAAC
rnacentral:rRNA from 1 species